AAGUCGUAACAAGGUUUCCGUAGGUGAACCUGAACACGUAUCCAACGUUAAACCCCCGUGAACCUUUAUUGCGAAUCACGCCUUUGUUAGAAAGUAGCAAUCCCUGGUAAAUCAUCGCCGAACAGUUUUGAUUCAGGGAUCUCUGCGAAGAGAGUGGUGUAGCGCCUGGCAUCCCUCUGCUUGUUAGUGUCUGAAAGUGUCACGUCACGAUCGCUGGAGGUCGACAAUGGAUAUCUGC
rnacentral:misc_RNA from 1 species